AUACUUGCCUGGCAGGGGAGAUACCAUGAUCACGAAGGUGGUUUUCUCAGGGUGAGGCUUAUUUAUUGCACUGUGAUGUGCUGACCCCUGUGAUUUCCUCAAAUGUGGGGAAUUCUGCAUAAUUUGUGGUAGUGGGGGACUGCGUGCUCUCCUGUG